GGGGAAUAUUGCGCAAUGGGGGAAACCCUGACGCAGCAACGCCGCGUGGGUGAUGAAGGUCUUCGGAUUGUAAAACCCUGUCUUCUGGGACGAUAAUGACGGUACCAGAGGAGGAAGCCACGGCUAACUACGUGCCAGCAGCCGCGGUAAUACGUAGGUGGCAAGCGUUGUCCGGAUUUACUGGGCGUAAAGGAUGCGUAGGCGGAUCUUUAAGUGGGAUGUGAAAUACCCGGGCUCAACUUGGGUGCUGCAUUCCAAACUGGGGAUCUAGAGUGCAGGAGAGGUAAGUGGAAUUCCUAGUGUAGCGGUGAAAUGCGUAGAGAUUAGGAAGAACACCAGUGGCGAAGGCGACUUACUGGACUGUAACUGACGCUGAGGCAUGAAAGCGUGGGUAGCAAAC
rnacentral:rRNA from 1 species